rfam:Ixodes scapularis strain Wikel colony gcontig_1108378552672, whole genome shotgun sequence.
CUGGUUAGUUCAGUCGGUAGAGCGCUCCACUGGAAAUGGAGAGGUCCCUGGUUCGAUACAAGGGCCAGGCA